GAAUAUUGGACAAUGGAGGGAACUCUGAUCCAGCCAUGCCGCGUGAAGGAUGAAGGCGCUCAGCGUUGUAAACUUCUUUUGGAUGGGAACAAUAACUUCUACGUGUAGGAGCUUGAGGGUACCAUCAGAAUAAGCACCGGCUAACUCCGUGCCAGCAGCCGCGGUAAUACGGAGGGUGCAAGCGUUAUCCGGAAUCACUGGGUUUAAAGGGUGCGUAGGCGGUGGCGUAAGUCAGUUGUGAAAUUCCCCGGCUUAACCGGCGGGACUGCGAUUGAUACUGUGUCACUUGAAUCAGGAUGAGGUAGGCGGAAUGUGACAUGUAGCGGUGAAAUGCUUAGAUAUGUCAUAGAACACCGAUUGCGAAGGCAGCUUGCUGGACCUGUAUUGACGCUGAGGCACGAAAGCGUGGGGAGCAAACAGG
rnacentral:rRNA from 1 species